rnacentral:lncRNA from 1 species
CCAUCUUCCCAUUUUACAAACGGGGGAAACUGAGGCCUCAAGAAGGCAAGGCACACGUGAUUUGGUGCCCUUGCCGUCACGCCAUCUGCACUCUUCCUUUGGCCCUUGCGUGGACACUGCUGACCACCCACUCACUGCACAUGAACCCCCACGGCCAGUUAGUUAUCCAGCAUCUUGGAAAGGGACCCAGGCUGCUGGCCCAGGACUCGAAAGCGCCUUUGGCCUCAGCACCGAGCCUCUCAGUCUUGACGCAGAUGAUGUGUGUGAUCCCUGCAGUCUCUGGGGGGCGGCAGGCACCUUACAAGAGGCAGCCCUGUUCCCCAGACCUGGCGUCCUCCCCCCGCACCCCAUGAGCGCCCCAGAUGAGCAGGGAGCAGCCCCACCUCAAGGAUCAAGGCUUUGCCAAGGUGACUUUUACUACCCAGCCCAGAUGGCAUAAAGCAUAUCUGAAGACCGGAGAGCAUUCAGAUAUUUUGCCAUAACUUAUACUGUUGCUUAUAAAGUACACUGAAGGGUUGCUGUGUAUUAACAUUGUUCCAUCAUGGGGGUAUAUUGUGAUUGAGAACAGGAGAGAGCAGCUACCAUAAUUACUCAGGUGCUGGAAGACUGAUUUUCUCGCUUGGUCACCAUUCAUCAUGGGUGAGAAAGUUGGAGGCUUUCCCAGUGAGAGGAAUGAUUCAAGUGGAAGAGAGAAACAGUAGUUGGAGUAGCUUUCCUCUCGAUGACGGUGUAGGCAUAACAGCACUGCCCUUCACCCUGACAGAUGCAUCGGCGAGAAUUAAGGAUGGUGUUCCUAGAGCCUAACACGGGACUCCGUGUGGAGAGCUGAGGUCCUUUUCAGAGGAGCAGCUUCUUCAGCCAAAUAAGGAAUCUUUUGAGUUCUGGCUGGGACAUGCCCCUGAUGGGUUACAGGGGGGCCCAAGACUGUCUGGACAUGUCAGUUUGGUAGCAUAAGAAAUAUUGAUGGUCCCCGCAAAGGAUAAAUGGACUGAUAGGGACCAUCUCCUGGAGCAUGCCAAGCAUUGCCCUUCCCAAUUCCGACUGACCACAUGGAAGGGUUGGGGCCAACGUCCAGUCGUGUGAUGACCUGGCACUGAAAGUUCGUUGUGUUUUGGCACAGCCCUGAGUGGUCCUUUGUUCGUCCUGCUGCCCCCAACAGCUUUUAACUCUGUCGUUCAAAAGAAGAGAGAGUUUCUGGCUUAGCCGAUCUUCCUUCAACUCUUCAAGCAGUAUCCAGUGGCCCUGACUUGCAUCCAGAGUUGGGGGAGGGCAGGUUUUUCUUCAACCUAACCUGGGGUUUCUCUGCCCACAUGGUUGCUGGAUGACACAAGGGGACUCAGCUAGGCAAGCUUGAUUCUAUCUGAGCUCCCAGAUUCUUCUCCCCUUUGGUGUUUGUUCUUUCUGAAUCUUUGGUGAACAGAUCUCUACCCUGACAUGGACAUAUCCAGGAUUGGAGGCAAGUUCAGGGAGUCCAGAGGUUCUGGACUGAAACUGGACAGCAACAGGGGAGAUGUCCCCAGAUCUAUUCCAGUGCCCUCAGAGAGGAAGCCCAUUAAAAACAGGAUUGGCCUAAGCCUGGCCUUUUACCAGCAGCAGACACAUACUGGGAGUCAUUUGGACUCUGCAGAGCCCAUGUGAAAUAAAGUGCCUAAUAAUAAAGUGCCUUGGC